rnacentral:pre_miRNA from 1 species
GAGUGUCAUAUUAGCACUCAAAAAGUUUCAGAUUUUGGAGCACUUUGGAUUUUGAGUUUUUGGAUUAGAGAUGCUC